UCGUCACACUAUCAUUAACUGAAUCCAUAGGUUAAUGAGGCGAACCGGGGGAACUGAAACAUCUAAGUACCCCGAGGAAAAGAAAUCAACCGAGAUUCCCCCAGUAGCGGCGAGCGAACGGGGAGGAGCCCAGAGCCUGAAUCAGCAUGUGUGUUAGUGGAAGCGUCUGGAAAGGCGCGCGAUACAGGGUGACAGCCCCGUACACAAAAGCGUAUGUGCUGUGAGCUCGAUGAGUAGGGCGGGACACGUGGUAUCCUGUCUGAAUAUGGGGGGACCAUCCUCCAAGGCUAAAUACUCCUGACUGACCGAUAGUGAACCAGUACCGUGAGGGAAAGGCGAAAAGAACCCCGGCGAGGGGAGUGAAAAAGAACCUGAAACCGUGUACGUACAAGCAGUGGGAGCACCCUUUGGGGUGUGACUGCGUACCUUUUGUAUAAUGGGUCAGCGACUUAUAUUCUGUAGCAAGGUUAACCGAAUAGGGGAGCCGGAGGGAAACCGAGUCUUAAUUGGGCGUUAAGUUGCAGGGUAUAGACCCGAAACCCGGUGAUCUAGCCAUGGGCAGGUUGAAGGUUGGGUAACACUAACUGGAGGACCGAACCGACUAAUGUUGAAAAAUUAGCGGAUGACCUGUGGCUGGGGGUGAAAGGCCAAUCAAACCGGGAGAUAGCUGGUUCUCCCCGAAAGCUAUUUAGGUAGCGCCUCGUGAAUUCAUCUCCGGGGGUAGAGCACUGUUUCGGCUAGGGGGUCAUCCCGACUUACCAACCCGAUGCAAACUGCGAAUACCGGAGAAUGUUAUCACGGGAGACACACGGCGGGUGCUAACGUCCGUCGUGAAGAGGGAAACAACCCAGACCGCCAGCUAAGGUCCCAAAGUCAUGGUUAAGUGGGAAACGAUGUGGGAAGGCCCAGACAGCCAGGAUGUUGGCUUAGAAGCAGCCAUCAUUUAAAGAAAGCGUAAUAGCUCACUGGUCGAGUCGGCCUGCGCGGAAGAUGUAACGGGGCUAAACCAUGCACCGAAGCUGCGGCAGCGAACGUAUCACUUAAAGCGAUUCAGCGGGUUACGAUUGACGGAGCGAAGCGACGUCAAAGCGUAUACAAAGUCGAGUCG
rnacentral:rRNA from 1 species